rnacentral:rRNA from 1 species
UACGAAGGGUGCAAGCGUUAAUCGGAAUUACUGGGCGUAAAGCGCGCGUAGGUGGUUCAGUAAGUUGGAAGUGAAAUCCCCGGGCUCAACCUGGGAACUGCUUUCAAAACUGCUGAGCUAGAGUACGGUAGAGGGUGGUGGAAUUUCCUGUGUAGCGGUGAAAUGCGUAGAUAUAGGAAGGAACACCAGUGGCGAAGGCGACCACCUGGACUGAUACUGACACUGAGGUGCGAAAGCGUGGGGAGCAAAC